GCCGAAGUAGCCCGGUCGAGGACGUUUGCUUUGCGGAGGUGAUGCGUCAGGCCCAUUCUCCCCUAUGCUUCAGUUAGCAAGUUGACGAUAACCUGGAUGGAGCGCAAGCCUCUGAAUGCGUAUAUGUGCAAGUGUUGUCUGCAUACUGCGGUUUGGUGACUGAGGUUGGGUUUACCUCGGUUAAGCACUCACGCUGUUAAUGUCAGCCUGAUUCUCUGUGUGUGUUAGAGAGACAAAUACUCUGAAAGUGCUGAAAAGCAGAUCUGAAUUUCACACAGCAGAAUGUAAAUUACAUAUAUUCUCUGUGAAAUGGCUGGUCUCUUUAAUCCCGACCAGCUGAUUUGGCUAGCACAUAAACCAGGCCCCUCGUGUACAAUUGGCUCCGGGCUGGAAAAGAAAGGUGAAAAUGCGGAAGUUUCCACCCCGACUGGGUACUUUCAUAAUUAGAUCAUCGCCUCAACUUUGGUCUUCAACUGGAUUUCCGGGGCACAAACACAGUAUCGAUGGCUACUUUAAAUUCCGAGCGGAGAGCUUUCGUUCAGAAGAUCAACAGGUAUUCCUCAGCUGAAAUUAGGAGGCAAUGUUUCCAGCAAACAAACCAGACCGCCAUCAAUUACCAACGCCAUACAAGUGGCUGUGGCUCUCUCUCAUUUCAGAUUGUUUGAGAAAUGGAAGCUACCUAUCCCUCUUGUACAAAUUCAGCCCAACUCAGAGCAAAAUUACGAUUGUGGAGGCUCUUUUCAAUUAUUCAUUUUGCUAAACUGAUACCAUAUGAAACUUUCAAAUAAAUAAGAUCAUUCAAAC